rnacentral:rRNA from 1 species
GUGGGGAAUAUUGGACAAUGGGGGGAACCCUGAUCCAGCCAUGCCGCGUGUGUGAAGAAGGCCUUUUGGUUGUAAAGCACUUUAAGCGAGGAGGAGGCUACCGAGAUUAAUACUCUUGGAUAGUGGACGUUACUCGCAGAAUAAGCACCGGCUAACUCUGUGCCAGCAGCCGCGGUAAUACAGAGGGUGCAAGCGUUAAUCGGAUUUACUGGGCGUAAAGCGCGCGUAGGUGACCAAUUAAGUCAAAUGUGAAAUCCCCGAGCUUAACUUGGGAAUUGCAUUCGAUACUGGUUGGCUAGAGCAUGGGAGAGGAUGGUAGAAUUCCAAGUGUAGCGGUGAAAUGCGUAGAGAUCUGGAGGAAUACCGAUGGCGAAGGCAGCCAUCUGGCCUAAUACUGACACUGAGGUGCGAAAGCAUGGGGAGCAAACAGGAUUAGAUACCCGAGUAGUCC